AUGUACUGUUUCAGUAGGGAUGACCAGACGUACAGUACCUGUUUUCUGGCUUUUGGUGUCCCGUCCCUGACUGGAGCUGUCCCUGUUUUACAGUACAUUUGUACAUUUAAAACACCACAAAUAGGAUGCUGGUUACCAGAGCAAUCGUACCGGAAUAAGCUGCUUGAAUGGAUACUUAAUCUCCGCACCCCAACCGGCGUCCCGUAUCACACAGCAAGUGUCUUGUAGCGAUGUUAGAUCUUUAGAAGAUGAUAACUUUAUUAAUCAGGUGCACUGAUAAAUUCCCAGACAUGAUGUAAAAGCAGCCAAUCAGAUUUUCAGAGCUGCUGUUUUCAACCAGCUCUUCCCAUUCUUGGUGCAACAUGAGGUCAGUGAUUGGUGUGAUGCCUCGGGCUAACAAUGUUUUGACAGUGAAUGCCACUGAGCUGAGAGUGGCAUGCUAGGCUUGGCAGACUUUUUGGGAUUUAACUUAUUAAUAGAGAGCUGCAGGAAAACGUGCUUUAAAAGCAGUUUCUGUUUUAAAAUUGAUAUAAAUGCAAGCCAGAAAAUUCGCUGAAUAAGUGAGGUGACUAUAGGGGAUUUCCUAGUCAGAAAAGCUGCCUUAUAACUCCGAAAGCCUAAUUUGAAAUAACAUGCCUUAUAUCUCCUCCGAAGUAUUAUGAUGUUCAGAAACAUUUAUACGCAGUGUAACGCAUCAGACAGCAUGAGUGAAAAUAGUCCCUAUAGGCCAACAUGCUCCGAGAUGCUUUAUUGGACUGUCACCACCAAUAUACAAUGCAAUUUAGAUUGCAAUCACAUUUUAGGGCAGAGUUUAAGUGGCAAUGGGAUCACAGAAUCGCCCAUCUGAUUCUACUACAUUAUACCGAUAGACCAAUCAUUCAUCACUAACAUAUAUUUACCAUCUAAAUAUAUCUUUAUUAAGUGACAGAUUCAUUACAUACCUUCUUGUGCUUUAUGAGACAUUUGUGACAUUUCCUUGAGGUAUUACAAAAAUAA
ensembl:lncRNA